UACGGGGGGGGCAAGCGUUGUUCGGAAUUACUGGGCGUAAAGGGCCAGUAGGCGGCCAACUAAGUCCGACGUGAAAUCCCAAGGCUUAACCUUGGAACUGCGUCGGAUACUGGAUGGCUUGAAUUCGGGAGAGGGAUGCAGAAUUCCAGGUGUAGCGGUGAAAUGCGUAGAUAUCAGGAGGAACACCGGUGGCGAAGGCGGAUCUCUGGGCCAUUACUGACGCUGAGGAGCGAAAGCGUGGGGAGCGAACAGG
rnacentral:rRNA from 1 species